rnacentral:rRNA from 1 species
GAUGAACGCUGGCGGUAUGCUUAACACAUGCAAGUCGAACGGACUCUUCGGAAUUAGUGGCGGACGGGUGAGUAACGCGUGAGAAUCUGGCUUUGGGUUCGGGACAACCACUGGAAACGGUGGCUAAUACCGGAUGUGCCGAGAGGUAAAAGAGAAAUUGCCUGAAGAUGAGCUCGCGUCUGAUUAGCUAGUUGGUGAGGUAAAGGCUCACCAAGGCAGCGAUCAGUAGCUGGUCUGAGAGGAUGACCAGCCACACUGGGACUGAGACACGGCCCAGACCCCUACGGGAGGCAGCAGUGAGGAAUUUUCCGCAAAGGGCGAAAGCCUGACGGAGCAAUACCGCGUGAGGGAAGAAGGCUCUUGGGUUGUAAACCUCUUUUCUUAGGGAAGAACAAAAUGACGGUACCUAAGGAAUAAGCAUCGGCUAACUCCGUG